GUACAGUGCAGAGCCUGAUGUGGGGUUUGACCCCAUGAACCGUGAGAUCAUGACCUGAGCAGAAGUCGAACGCUUAACUGCCCCUCUCUUAAUACGUUUUACACCCAACUUUGAACAAUUGGGCAAAUUUUACAUAAAAAUGCAGACUUCUGGCGGCUGUCAUAGGCAGUACGGGGCUGGCCUUCCCAUAGGGAUGGAAGGAGAAGCCACGGCCCCCUAGGAUAGGUCUCCGGCUCCCUGACCUCAUCCAGCCCCCAACCCUCACAGGAGUCUGCACAUCUGCUUGUGGCCUGCGGGCUGUAGGCCGGCUACUGUGCCCACAGACUGUUCUGGUUCCCUUGGCCACAUGGGGGGUGCCAUCUGCUCUUGCCGAGGGGAACGCCGUCUCACCCACGUCCCUCACCCUACAUAUCUCCUGGGUUGCCGUGGCCCAUUUCGAACUGCCUCCAGCUCCAGGCCCCUCCCAGGUCCUCGCGGGCCCCCUUUCCGUGCCGAGCCUGCCAGGGACUCAGCAGGCACUCUCCUGGCUUCCCAGGGGUCUGCCCAGUUGUAACAGCAGGAAUACACCCCCCGAGUCACUGACCGCAGGUAGACAGAACCGUGACUCCGGUCCCCAACUCCAGGUGAGACGGACAAAGGGAGUUUUCUCUGAUCUCUGGGGGUGGGGUCACAGGUGGAAAGAAUACCAGGGCUCUAGGGUCAGAAUGUCUCAGGUCCAAAUCCUACCUCCGCCUGUUAUCAGCUGUUGUGUGGCCUGGGGCGGGUCACUUCAUCUCUGCUCAUGUACAAAACGCAACAAAACAGAAGAUGUGCUGGAGGGUUUGGUACAGAGUAGUCACUAUGUCAUGGGCCACUGCCCCUGCUGCAGCGAGGGUUCCGCGUGGCACAGUACCACAUGGGGCACUCAGGGGUCUGCCAGCCAGAAGCAAGCCCUUUCCCCGCCGCCUCUCUUUCUUCCAGGAAACAGUGGGCAAUGCUAGCGUUCACAGUCCGAUUCUGAGCUGCCGGGGGGUCCUGACCCUGCAACGGGACUUCACUUUCAGGUGGGGGGUUAAAUCCGGAUGGCGCUUCUGUGCGCCCUUCUCAGAGGCUCGCGCCCACCCCAGAGAAUCCUCUCUAUGCCAAAGCCAAGAGUACCUGUAACGUCAGGUGUGGGCAUCAUUUUCUGAUUAGUGCCCCUUCCGUGGGUGUCCAACUCAAUGCCAGAAGUCCUGUCUGUUAGGGACAUUGUCUGCCUUAGCUUAUCUUCACCGGUUAAGGAGAUGCCACAAUGUUAAUCCAUUUCAAGGGUUUUGAACAAACAGUCAUAAAUAUUUGAGCCUCUGCUUUGCCUAUUAAGGGAAAUGCCAUCAAAGAUAAUUAUUUUUACCUCUGCCUGACAGAAAGAUUUACACAGAGGACAGGAUUAUAUUACCCUCUGAGCAAAAUUCAGAAACCGUGAACCUAGAUGGUCCUCGUCUUCACUGUGAUUAUUCCUACGGCUGAAUAUGCCGAAUUCCUGGAUCCGGAGGGGGAAAAUGCCGGCAGAAGCUCCCCACGUUCCUUUCCUGCUGAGCAUCUAUAACAGAAAUUCAUUUUCCAUUGCUCUCUGACCUCUGUUCCAAAAAAAGGCAGAGGAAGGAGCUGCCAGGGGAGAGGAAAAAGCAUGUUUUCUUGUGGGAAGCAGAAGCGAGACAGAAAAUCUUUUGACAUCCGGAAACCAGAAAGUGGCUCUGAUUUGCCAGGAGGCUGCCGACAAAGAGCUUAAACAGUGUUACCAGUGUCCCCACCAGGGGGACGGGACGUGGGCCAGGGUCCAGAGACAUGGACCCCUCUCUGGCACAUCGCUCUUCCCUCCCUGGCCAAGGGAUUUUAAGGAGAAACGUUAAGACAGUGCACUCUCCCAGGGUCCUUACCACCGUCUGGAAGCAGGAGUGUAGCUGUGUCAGGAACGGGGGCUUGUCAAGCAAGGCCAGGACUCGCUUCUCCACCAUGGUGCACUCCACGUCGUCAUCCUGAAUCACCACGUCCUUCUUCAGGA